AUUGAACGCUGGCGGCAGGCCUAACACAUGCAAGUCGAGCGGAGCGGCGGACGGGUGAGUAAUGCCUAGGACUCUGCCUGGUAGUGGGGGAUAACGUCCGGAAACGGGCGCUAAUACCGCAUACUAUCAGAUGAGCCUAUGGUGGAUUAGAUAGUUGGUGGGGUAAAGGCCUACCAAGGCGACGAGCCCUAGCUGGUCUGAGAGGAUGACCAGCCACACGGGAACUGAGACAGGGGGCAGACGCAGACGGGAGGCAGCAGUGGUGAAUAUUGCACAAUGGGCGCAAGCCUGAUGCAGCCAUGCCGGGUGUAUGAAGAAGGCCUUCGGGUUGUAAAGUACUUUCAGCGGGUAGGCGUUACCCGCAGAAGAAGCACCGGCUAACUCCGUGCCAGCAGCCGCGGUAAUAC
rnacentral:rRNA from 1 species